GUAGGUGGCAAGCGUUGUCCGGAAUUAUUGGGCGUAAAGCGCGCGCAGGCGGUUCUUUAAGUCUGAUGUGAAAGCCCACGGCUCAACCGUGGAGGGUCAUUGGAAACUGGAGAACUUGAGUACAAAAGAGGAAAGCGGAACUCCACGUGUAGCGGUGAAAUGCGUAGAGAUGUGGAGGAACACCAGUGGCGAAGGCGGCUUUCUGGUCUGUAACUGACGCUGAGGCGCGAAAGCGUGGGGAGCAAACAGGGACUAGAUACCCUGGUAGUCCACGCCGUAAACGAUGAGUGCUAAGUGUUAGGGGGUUUCCGCCCCCUUAGUGCUGCAGCUAACGCAUUAAGCACUCCGCCUGGGGAUACGGCCGCAAGGCUG
rnacentral:rRNA from 1 species